UUUGCGCGACAGUUAAAAAUUAGCACAGUAUCCAGGAGCCUAUUCAGGAGUGAGCUCGCGAAGGUCGGAGAGGAGUUUUACAUCAGCAACUAAUGAUGGGGCAAGCUCUCAAGAAAAAUAAGAAGAAGAAGAAGGCCUCAGAUGAGGAGAAUGGCGACAAUAAAUUACAAUUUGACAGGCUGUGGUAAUUGCAAGAAAUUUGAGAACAUGAUUCUCUCUGAUGGCAACAAUAGACCAACUACUUUGCUUAAGUUUGACAAUAGCAAGAUAUUGUUUGUUAUGAUUCUGAUGAAAUACAGUAGUAACAUAAAAGAAAAAGGUCAAUAUUACUCUACAAUAUUCAUUAGAACUAAGUAAAAAAUGUUUUAGUCUAUUAGUUUUUAUGCCCUGCAGAAGAAGUAAUUUGUUAUAAAAUCCAGUUUAAAAUUGGAUAGCAUAUUUUAUCAUCAACAAUGUAAAAUGUUAACUAUGUUAUAAUUAUGAUUCAUAUUACUGGUGGAAGUGUCAUUGAUGGGAUAUUUUGUAAUAAUGAUACAAAUUUUCAUUAUAAUAUUUGAUUAUAUUUGUAUAGUAGGGCAGAAAUAAUACCAUAGCAGCGUUGUAUGGACUAACAGUACUUUAGAAAAAUCUACUAUUCUACAAUAGAAAAUAUUACAUAGCAUAAAAAAAGUUAAAUGUUUUUCCAUAUUUAAUAUUUUUGCACUGUUUUCUAAUAGAUAUGUUCAAUAAGCACCUAAUUUGCUCUUAUUCUUCCUUCUAGUAUUUUAAUAUUCCCUAAUUUAUUGAUUCAUUUUGCAGUUUAUAUUUUAUUAUUGUUAAUGCUAAAAAAUGUUUGUUUUCCCAAUUUGUUUUAGCGUCAUAAAUGCACAAAAAUAAUACUCGUUUUUUUUGUACUAAUACAUACAAAGAAAGAAUGAAUAAAAGAAAACAGACUCAUAAUUGGAA